GACGAACGCUGGCGGCGUGCCUAAUACAUGCAAGUAGAACGCAGUUGCGAACGGGUGAGUAACGCGUAGGUAAACGCCUCAUUGCGGGGGAUAACUAUUGGAAACGAUAGCUAAUACCGCAUUCUGUGAGACGGACCUGCGUUGCAUUUUCUAGUUGGCGAGGAAAAGGCUCACCAAGGCGACGAUACAUAGCCGACCUGUGAAGGUUGUCUGCCACACUUGGACUGGGACACGGCCCAGAAUCCUUCGGGAGGCAACAAUAGGGAAUCUUCGGCAAUUGACGGAAGUCUGACCGAACAACGCCGCGGGGGAGAAGGAGGUUUUCGGAUCGUAAAGCUCUGUUAUUCGGGAAGCGGUAACUGACCAGAAAGGGACGGCUAACUACGUGCCAGCAGCCGCGGUAAUUC
rnacentral:rRNA from 1 species